CAUAGUUUAGUGAAUUUAUCACUCAGGUAUUUAAACCUGAUUACAGGAGCACUUAUUUUCCUGAGCUCUGA